AAGGAAUAUUGGUCAAUGGACGCAAGUCUGAACCAGCCAUGCCGCGUGAAGGAUGAAGGUCCUCUGGAUUGUAAACUUCUUUUAUAGGGGACGAAACCCAGGUAUUCUUACCUGAUUGACGGUACCCUAGGAAUAAGCACCGGCUAACUCCGUGCCAGCAGCCGCGGUAAUACGGAGGGUGCAAGCGUUAUCCGGAUUCACUGGGUUUAAAGGGAGCGUAGGAGGGCAGGUAAGUCAGUGGUGAAAUCCCCGUGCUUAACAUGGGAACUGCCGUUGAUACUAUCUGUCUUGAAUCCCGUUGAGGUGAGCGGAAUAUGUCAUGUAGCGGUGAAAUGCUUAGAUAUGACAUAGAACACCAAUUGCGAAGGCAGCUCGCUAAACGAAGAUUGACUCUGAGGCUCGAAAGCGUGGGGAUCAAAC
rnacentral:rRNA from 1 species